rnacentral:rRNA from 1 species
GACGAACGCUGGCGGCGUGCUUAACACAUGCAAGUCGAACGGCAAGGCCCUGCUUUUGUGGGGUGCUCGAGUGGCGAACGGGUGCGUAACACGUGAGUAACCUGCCCUUGACUUUGGGAUAACUUAAGGAAACUGGGGCUAAUACCGGAUCGGAGCUCCUGCUGCAUGGUGGGGGUUGGAAAGUUUCGGCGGUUGGGGAUGGACUCGCGGAUUAUCAGCUUGUUGGUGGGGUAGUGGCUUACCAAGGCUGUGACGGGUAGCCGGCCUGAGAGGGUGACCGGCCACAUUGGGACUGAGGGACGGCCCAGACUCCUACGGGAGGCAGCAGUGGGGAAUAUUGCACAAUGGGCGGAAGCCGGAUGCAGCAACGCCGCGUGCGGGAUGACGGCCUUCGGGUUGUAAACCGCUUUCGCCUGUGACGAAGCGUGAGUGACGGUAAUGGGUAAAGAAGCACCGGCUAACUACGUG